rnacentral:rRNA from 1 species
UUGAACGCUGGCGGAAUGCUUUACACAUGCAAGUCGAGCGGCAGCGCGGGGGCAACCCUGGCGGCGAGCGGCGAACGGGUGAGUAACAUAUCGGAACGUACCCAGUAAUGGGGGAUAACCAACCGAAAGGUUGGCUAAUACCGCAUACGCCCUGAGGGGGAAAGUGGGGGAUCGCAAGACCUCACGUUAUUGGAGCGGCCGAUAUCGGAUUAGCUAGUUGGUGGGGUAAAGGCUCACCAAGGCGACGAUCCGUAGCGGGUCUGAGAGGACGGCCCGCCACACUGGAACUGAGACACGGUCCAGACUCCUACGGGAGGCAGCAGUGGGGAAUUUUGGACAAUGGGCGCAAGCCUGAUCCAGCCAUUCCGCGUGAGUGAAGAAGGCCUUCGGGUUGUAAAGCUCUUUCGGCAGGAACGAAACGGUCUCUCCUAAUACGGGAGGCUAAUGACGGUACCUGAAGAAGAAGCACCGGCUAACUACGU